UGUGUGUUAGUGGAAGCGUCUGGAAAGGCGCGCGAUACAGGGUGACAGCCCCGUACACAAAAAUGCACAUGCUGUGAGCUCGAUGAGUAGGGCGGGACACGUGGUAUCCUGUCUGAAUAUGGGGGGACCAUCCUCCAAGGCUAAAUACUCCUGACUGACCGAUAGUGAACCAGUACCGUGAGGGAAAGGCGAAAAGAACCCCGGCGAGGGGAGUGAAAAAGAACCUGAAACCGUGUACGUACAAGCAGUGGGAGCACGCUUAGGCGUGUGACUGCGUACCUUUUGUAUAAUGGGUCAGCGACUUAUAUUCUGUAGCAAGGUUAACCGAAUAGGGGAGCCGAAGGGAAACCGAGUCUUAACUGGGCGUUAAGUUGCAGGGUAUAGACCCGAAACCCGGUGAUCUAGCCAUGGGCAGGUUGAAGGUUGGGUAACACUAACUGGAGGACCGAACCGACUAAUGUUGAAAAAUUAGCGGAUGACUUGUGGCUGGGGGUGAAAGGCCAAUCAAACCGGGAGAUAGCUGGUUCUCCCCGAAAGCUAUUUAGGUAGCGCCUCGUGAAUUCAUCUCCGGGGGUAGAGCACUGUUUCGGCAAGGGGGUCAUCCCGACUUACCAACCCGAUGCAAACUGCGAAUACCGGAGAAUGUUAUCACGGGAGACACACGGCGGGUGCUAACGUCCGUCGUGAAGAGGGAAACAACCCAGACCGCCAGCUAAGGUCCCAAAGUCAUGGUUAAGUGGGAAACGAUGUGGGAAGGCCCAGACAGCCAGGAUGUUGGCUUAGAAGCAGCCAUCAUUUAAAGAAAGCGUAAUAGCUCACUGGUCGAGUCGGCCUGCGCGGAAGAUGUAACGGGGCUAAACCAUGCACCGAAGCUGCGGCAGCGACGCUUAUGCGUUGUUGGGUAGGGGAGCGUUCUGUAAGCCUGUGAAGGUGUGCUGUGAGGCAUGCUGGAGGUAUCAGAAGUGCGAAUGCUGACAUAAGUAACGAUAAAGCGGGUGAAAAGCCCGCUCGCCGGAAGACCAAGGGUUCCUGUCCAACGUUAAUCGGGGCAGGGUGAGUCGACCCCUAAGGCGAGGCCGAAAGGCGUAGUCGAUGGGAAACAGGUUAAUAUUCCUGUACUUGGUGUUACUGCGAAGGGGGGACGGAGAAGGCUAUGUUGGCCGGGCGACGGUUGUCCCGGUUUAAGCGUGUAGGCUGGUUUUCCAGGCAAAUCCGGAAAAUCAAGGCUGAGGCGUGAUGACGAGGCACUACGGUGCUGAAGCAACAAAUGCCCUGCUUCCAGGAAAAGCCUCUAAGCAUCAGGUAACAUCAAAUCGUACCCCAAACCGACACAGGUGGUCAGGUAGAGAAUACCAAGGCGCUUGAGAGAACUCGGGUGAAGGAACUAGGCAAAAUGGUGCCGUAACUUCGGGAGAAGGCACGCUGAUAUGUAGGUGAAGCGACUUGCUCGUGGAGCUGAAAUCAGUCGAAGAUACCAGCUGGCUGCAACUGUUUAUUAAAAACACAGCACUGUGCAAACACGAAAGUGGACGUAUACGGUGUGACGCCUGCCCGGUGCCGGAAGGUUAAUUGAUGGGGUCAGCGCAAGCGAAGCUCUUGAUCGAAGCCCCGGUAAACGGCGGCCGUAACUAUAACGGUCCUAAGGUAGCGAAAUUCCUUGUCGGGUAAGUUCCGACCUGCACGAAUGGCGUAAUGAUGGCCAGGCUGUCUCCACCCGAGACUCAGUGAAAUUGAACUCGCUGUGAAGAUGCAGUGUACCCGCGGCAAGACGGAAAGACCCCGUGAACCUUUACUAUAGCUUGACACUGAACAUUGAGCCUUGAUGUGUAGGAUAGGUGGGAGGCUUUGAAGUGUGGACGCCAGUCUGCAUGGAGCCGACCUUGAAAUACCACCCUUUAAUGUUUGAUGUUCUAACGUUGACCCGUAAUCCGGGUUGCGGACAGUGUCUGGUGGGUAGUUUGACUGGGGCGGUCUCCUCCUAAAGAGUAACGGAGGAGCACGAAGGUUGGCUAAUCCUGGUCGGACAUCAGGAGGUUAGUGCAAUGGCAUAAGCCAGCUUGACUGCGAGCGUGACGGCGCGAGCAGGUGCGAAAGCAGGUCAUAGUGAUCCGGUGGUUCUGAAUGGAAGGGCCAUCGCUCAACGGAUAAAAGGUACUCCGGGGAUAACAGGCUGAUACCGCCCAAGAGUUCAUAUCGACGGCGGUGUUUGGCACCUCGAUGUCGGCUCAUCACAUCCUGGGGCUGAAGUAGGUCCCAAGGGUAUGGCUGUUCGCCAUUUAAAGUGGUACGCGAGCUGGGUUUAGAACGUCGUGAGACAGUUCGGUCCCUAUCUGCCGUGGGCGCUGGAGAACUGAGGGGGGCUGCUCCUAGUACGAGAGGACCGGAGUGGACGCAUCACUGGUGUUCGGGUUGUCAUGCCAAUGGCACUGCCCGGUAGCUAAAUGCGGAAGAGAUAAGUGCUGAAAGCAUCUAAGCACGAAACUUGCC
rnacentral:rRNA from 1 species